AGGUGGUUAGUUUAAGAAAAACAUUUGAUUUCGGCUCAAAAGCUCGUGGUUAAAGUCCACCCCCGCCUA
rnacentral:tRNA from 2 species